rnacentral:rRNA from 1 species
GAUGAACGCUGGCGGCGUGCCUAAUACAUGCAAGUCGAGCGAACGGACGAGAAGCUUGCUUUUCUGAUGUUAGCGGCGGACGGGUGAGUAACACGUGGAUAACCUACCUAUAAGACUGGGAUAACUUCGGGAAACCGGAGCUAAUACCGGAUAAUAUUUUGAACCGCAUGGUUCAAAAGUGAAAGACGGUCUUGCUGUCACUUAUAGAUGGAUCCGCGCUGCAUUAGCUAGUUGGUAAGGUAACGGCUUACCAAGGCAACGAUGCAUAGCCGACCUGAGAGGUGAUCGGCCACACUGGAACUGAGACACGGUCCAGACUCCUACGGGAGGCAGCAGUAGGGAAUCUUCCGCAAUGGGCGAAAGCCUGACGGAGCAACGCCGCGUGAGUGAUGAAGGUCUUCGGAUCGUAAAACUCUGUUAUUAGGGAAGAACAUAUGUGUAAGUAACUGUGCACAUCUUGACGGUACCUAAUCAGAAAGCCACGGCUAACUACGUG